UACUGGCCUAGAGACACAACAUGUUCAUCGUGUCAAGCAUUUUUAGCUAAUUUAGAUGAAUUUGCCGAAGAUAUCUUUUUAAAUGGAUGCUAAAAUUCCUGAAGUUCAGCUGCAUACAGUUUGCACUUAUGGACUCCUGUUGUUGAAGUUCGUUUUUUUGUUUUCUUCUUUUUUUAAACAUUCAUAGCUGGUCUUAUUUGUAAAGCUCACUUUACUUAGAAUUAGUGGCACUUGCUUUUAUUAGAGAAUGAUUUCAAAUGCUGUAACUUUCUGAAAUAACAUGGCCUUGGAGGGCAUGAAGACAGAUACUCCUCCAAGGUUAUUGGACACCGGAAACAAUAAAUUGGAACACCUCCUCAAACCUACCACUCAGGAAUGUUUGCUGGGGCCGAAAGAACAGUCCAUUGAAAGGGAGUAUUACAAAAACAUGGCCUUUGCUUGAAAGAAAAUACCAAGGAACAGGAAACUGAUCAUUAAAGCCUGAGUUUGCUUUCAAACUGUGCUAAAAAGCCUGUUAUUUUAUGCUAGAUCAGCUUCAACCACACAAAGACAGGCAAAUUGAGAGAGAUGGAGAAAGUCAGCAGUAGAGAACCUUAACCUUGAGCGGGCUUAGCCUCAGAGCCCUCAGCGCACUGAGAAGGUUGAGCAUCCCAAAUCUGAAAAUCCAAAAUCUGAAAUGCUUCAAAAUUUGAAACUUUUUGAGUACCAACAUGACACCACAAAUGAAAAAUUCCACACAUAAGUACUUAACACAAACUUUGUUUCAUGUAAAACAUUGUUUAAAACAUUGUAUAAAAUUACCUUUAGGGGAUGUAUAUAAGGUAUACAUGAAACAUAAAUGAAUUUUGUAUUUAGACAUGGUCCCAUCCCCAAGAUAUCUUAUUGUAUGUAUAUGCAAAUAUUCCAAAAUCUGAAAAAAAUCUGAAAUCUGAAACACUUCUGGUUCCAAGCAUUUUGGAUAAGGAUUACUCAACUGGUACCUUAGUCUGAUUAAUUUAUUCUCAGCUUCUAUGUAUUAGUUCUUAGGGAUUCUUUUUUUUAACUUCACCUUUUUUGUAAUGUUCCUAGCAAAUGUUAUUCAUGUUAUUUCACUUUUUAAAAAUUAUGCCAUUGCUCUAGUGGCGGAGCAGGAAGCAAAGGAAUACAGGGCCAGCAUGCUGCUGAAUGGGCCUGGCAGCAGCAGAACUACGUGAAGAGGCCUCUGUGUUCCUGGAGGUUUAUGGACAGAGGUCCUUGUGUAACUUAAUGUUCCAGAUCCCGUGUCCUAAGCAGAGUAGCUGCAACCCAGAAACAGCCUCUGCAAAGGAGCCUUCAGUACCAGAUCCAAGCCUCACUUUGUGUCCUCACUCCCACUUGCUCAUUGGCCCCUGACCCAGCCUUCAGGAUUUCAACAGCAAGCCGAAGAGCAGGUGCUCCUGUCAGCUUUUCUGCUCACUCUGGCUCCUGUGGCCAGACCCAAGUUCAUACAGCAGAUCUUUCCUGCCCUGCGUGGGCCUUUGAGACGCUGUGGAGGGUGGGCCUGCUUGGUUGAUUACUACUGCUGCUGCUUCUAGUUCCAUUGACCCACCAGGGACAGCAGCUCUGAUUCGGCCUAUGCCUGCCCUCCGCCACCUCCCUCCUUCCUUUCUCCCUUCCCCUCCCCCCUCUCCCACAUACCAGAAAUCACUGUCUUGGCACUUGGGAUUUGAAAAUUUGCCCAACAAAUGAAAACUGAUCUUAUCUGUCUGCAAAGCAAUUCGACAAUGCAUUUCAGGAGCCAAAAUAUGUUUAUAUUUCUUGAUCCAGUAAUCCUUCUCCUGUUGAAUGAUUUAUAUAAAUUCCCAAAAGGAAAAAAAAAUAGUUGGUACACAAAGAUCUUCUGUGGAAGAUUAUUCAUUUAAUAAAUAUUUAUUGAGUGC